rnacentral:rRNA from 1 species
CCACCGCGGUUAUACGAGAGGCUCAAGUUGACGGACAUCGGCGUAAAGAGUGGUUAGGAAGUCUUUCAAACUAAAGCCGAACGCCCUCAGAACUGUUAUACGUACCCGAGGGUAAGAAGCCCCCCUACGAAAGUGGCUUUAUAUCUCCGACCCCACGAAAGCUGCGAAACAAACUGGGAUUAGAUACCCCACUAUGCCCAGCCCUAAACUUUGAUAGCCCACUACACCCGCUAUCCGCCCGGGUACUACGAGCACUAGCUUAAAACCCAAAGGACUUGGCGGUGCUUUAGAUCCACCUAGAGGAGCCUGUUCUAGAACCGAUAACCCCCGUUAAACCUCACCCUCUCUUGUUCUUCCCGCCUAUAUACCGCCGUCGUCAGCUUACCCUAUGAAGGAGCCACAGUAAGCAGAACUAGUACAACUCAAAACGCCAGGUCGAGGUGUAGCAUAUGAGAGGGGAAGAAAUGGGCUACAUUCCCUACCACAGGGAAUACGAACAAUGUAAUGAAAUAUACAUUAGAAGGAGGAUUUAGCAGUAAGCAGAAAAUAGAGCGUUCCGCUGAAACCGGCCCUGAAGCGCGCACACACCGCCCGUCACUCUCCCCAAACCAACUAACAUCCUAUAAAUAAUACAUAUUAUCGGUAAAGGGGAGGCAAGUCGUAACAUG